UCUAAUAUGGCUAGUGCAGUAGAUUUAAGCCCUACAAAUAAAGAAUCCUUUUUUUAGAA
rnacentral:tRNA from 1 species